CAGGGCGUAGCUCAGUUGGUAGAGUUCUCGGUUUGGAACCGAGCGGUCGUUGGUUCGAGUCCAACUGCCCUGACCA
rnacentral:tRNA from 1 species